UGUUACAAUGGCAGGUACAGAGGGAUGCUACCGGGCGACCGGAUGCGGAUCUCGAAAGCCUGUCCCAGUUCGGACUGGAGUCUGCAACCCGACUCCACGAAGUUGGAUUCGCUAGUAAUCGCGCAUCAGCCAUGGCGCGGUGAAUACGUUCCCGGGCCUUGUACACACCGCCCGUCAAGCCAUGGGAGCCGGGGGCGCCUGAAGUCCGGGACCGCGAGGACCGGCCUAGGGCGAAACUGGUAACUGGGGCUAAGUCGUAACAAGGUAGC
rnacentral:rRNA from 1 species